rnacentral:rRNA from 1 species
CGGACCUUUCGGGGUUAGUGGCGGACGGGUGAGUAACACGUGGGAACGUGCCUUUAGGUUCGGAAUAGCUCCUGGAAACGGGUGGUAAUGCCGAAUGUGCCCUUCGGGGGAAAGAUUUAUCGCCUUUAGAGCGGCCCGCGUCUGAUUAGCUAGUUGGUUGAGGUAACGGCUCACCAAGGCGACGAUCAGUAGCUGGUCUGAGAGGAUGGCCAGCCACAUUGGGACUGAGACACGGCCCAAACUCCUACGGGAGGCAGCAGUGGGGAAUCUUGCGCAAUGGGCGAAAGCCUGACGCAGCCAUGCCGCGUGAAUGAUGAAGGUCUUAGGAUUGUAAAAUUCUUUCACCGGGGACGAUAAUGACGGUACCCGGAGAAGAAGCCCCGGCUAACUUCGUGCCAGCAGCCGCGGUAAUACGAAGGGGGCUAGCGUUGCUCGGAAUUACUGGGCGUAAAGGGCGCGUAGGCGGACAUUUAAGUCAGGGGUGA